rnacentral:rRNA from 1 species
CAAUAGCGUAUAUUAAAGUUGUUGCGGUUAAAAAGCUCGUAGUUGGAUUUCUGUUGAGAACGACCGGUCCGCACUAUGUGCGUGUAUCUGGUUCGGUCUUGGCAUCCUCUUGAGGAACGUAUCUGCGCUUGAUUGCGUGGAGCGGUAUUCAAGACUUUUACUUUGAGGAAAUUAGAGUGUUCACGGCAGGCAAGCGCCUUGAAUACGUUAGCAUGGAAUAAUAAUAUAGGAUCUUGGUUCUAUUUUGUUGGUUUCUAGGGCUAAGGUAAUGAUUAAUAGGGAUAAUUGGGGGCAUUUGUAUUAACGCGUCAGAGGUGGAAUCCUUGGAUUGCGUUACGACAAACUACUGCGAAAGCAUUUGCCAAGGAUGUUUUCAUUGA